rnacentral:lncRNA from 1 species
GGGAAGGUAGAAGGUGGGGUCUGCCGGACGCGUGUUCCUGCCACCAGGUGCCCGCUCCCCGCGAGGCCGGCUCAGGAGCAGAAGGAAGCCCGGUGCCAGCCAGCCUUCCUGAAAGACCAAGCCCGCGCCAUCCGGCUUCCUCCAGUGGACGCCUGCAGGACCCAGGAACACUACAUCAACACUCUUGGCGGGGACCUGGACACAGAAGACUCCUGUUUCAAGAAAAUACAAUCAUCUCUCAAAGGCUGUAAUUUAUAUGCAUUUUAAAACUCUAGGCAUUGAAAACCACCCAAGUGUCCCAAAUAGAAGGGUAAUAUAUAAUCAAUCACUCAGUGUAAUAUUAUACAUCCUUUAAAAAUGUUAUUGGGAAAUGUUUUAUGAUCUGUAAGUCCAAGGAAUCCUCUCCCACCAUUUCUUUCCCCCCCGCUGUUCCCCCAUACCCACACUUCUUUGUUCCAAUUGGCAUGUAAAUUUGGUUUUCCCGCCAAAUGAGUCAGUCAUGAUGGGAACCUCAACUGAUUUGAACAGAUGUGUGUCAAUGUUACUUGGAAAACUAGAUGUCAAUAACCAGGGUCACAGAAAAAGGCAGUGGUCACAACUCUGUAAAAAUGUAUGCAUGCACACAGACAAGGACUAAAGUGGAACCCCACACAGGAAAACAGUGGGCUGUACUCCAGUGCUGGGACAUUGAAUGACUGUAUGCUGCUUUUGAUUUCCGUUAAUAUGGGCAACUGUCCAAUUAAAAAAAAAACUCCUAAGGA